UAAUCUGUAACAGCGAGUGAGGCUGAUGGCAGAUUUCAUCUGCGGGCAGACAACUCAGUUUUGGAGAAAAUUAUAAUAGUACAGUUACCAGGACGCACACAGAGUUCAACUUUUCUGCCCAAGUAUCAGAGUGAUUCAGGACCUUAAUUUAUAUUUUUAUAUAAGCUAGGUGACACCUUUUGCCUUUGGUGAGGCAAGAUCACUUAACUAAAAAAGAAAACCAUAGUAAAAAAAAAAAAAAAAAUUCUAUAUAAAUGUUCUUUGACAGAAGGGUAAAAGCCAUUUUCAAUAAGACUCCUCUAAGAACCUACAUCAGGCAGACUGAGGAAGCUUAACAUGUUUGUAGAACACCUUCUACCCGCUUACCUGAAAACCCUCCAAAUUCACCUUCACGCCGCCCGACACUGGGGCUGAGGGGGAAUGUAGGUCUGCAGCCUGACAGAGAACACAACGCCAGAGGACACAGCCGGGGCGCUGCCGGGAGCUCCGGCACGAGGGCCCACCGCGUGAGAAGAACAAGUGGACAAAACUAGCGUGAAAGCUUGGGUUUAACGUGCUCUGCCAAACUCUGCAGAGUCCCCUUGGCUCUGCCAACCUGGGUGAUGGGAGGUGUUUCCUUCUAUUCCUACCGUUGCCUUCUCCAGCUGUCCUUGUCGGGUCUGUUUGCCUCUGCUUGCUACGCUGAGGGAAACCCGAAGGGUGGACAGCCUCACCUGGACCACCGGGACACUACUGAGCAGUGACAGGCCAUCACCGCCGCCAUCACCGCCACCACCUUUGCCUGUAUCCUUUCACUGCCCUUCAGUCGCAGUGGCCACAGCUAAUUAGAGAUCCUUCGGCUGGGAUAGAGGUUAAAAAACUAAAUUCUAGUAGUAAAUCUCAUGCGAAGGGAAAAAUAAGACCUUGUCACAAAAAUAAGAAUUAUAACCCCAUGGACUGUAGUCCACCAGGCUCCUCUAUCCAUGGAAUUCUCCAGGUAAGAAUACUGGAGUGGGUUGCCAUUUCCUUCUCCAGGGGAUCUUCCUGA
rnacentral:lncRNA from 1 species